rnacentral:lncRNA from 1 species
UGAGAAGCAAGCUGGGGCCACCUCACCUGAUGACAUGGUUGAUGACAAUUGGGUCAGGGGGCAAUAGCAGGGCUGUGAGGCGCUGGGGAAUCUCAGAAAACUUCAGCCGGGGACAAUCAAAAAUCUGAAGCAGGACAAUUGGGGAGAGAGAGAUCACUCUUCUUGAAGAGAUCAUCAUGCAGUUGUAGAUCCUUUUGUUCUAGAAAGGCCACAAGAAGCUGAGAGGAAGUCUGAUUCCUCAGUGCGCAUGGGGAUGGGAUUGGGGUGGGCUGGUCUGGUGGUGGAGCCACCGGUAUGGCUGACAAGAUAGGGGGUGGGUCAGUGUGGGGCAGGGGUUGAGAGUGCGGGCCCUGGGUCAGCCUGCUUAUGUAUCAGUCCUGCCUCUGCCACUUACUAUGCAACCUGGAGCAAGUUAACACCUCAGGGCUCAGUGUCUUCAUCUCUAGAGUGGGGAUGAAAAGAAUACCUAUCUCCCAGGGCUGCCGUGAGAAGUCAGUGAACUAAUACACAUAAAGUGCUUGGGACAGUGCCUGGCACAUGGUAAGUGCCCAAUAAAUAUCAACUGCUAUUUUUA